GACGAACGCUGGCGGCGUGCUUAACACAUGCAAGUCGAACGGAAAGGCCCUGCUUUUGUGGGGUGCUCGAGUGGCGAACGGGUGAGUAACACGUGAGUAACCUGCCCUUGACUUUGGGAUAACUUCAGGAAACUGGGGCUAAUACCGGAUAGGAGCUCCUGCUGCAUGGUGGGGGUUGGAAAGUUUCGGCGGUUGGGGAUGGACUCGCGGCUUAUCAGCUUGUUGGUGGGGUAGUGGCUUACCAAGGCUUUGACGGGUAGCCGGCCGGAGAGGGUGACCGGCAACAUUGGGACUGAGAUACGGCCCAGACUCCUACGGGAGGCAGCAGUGGGGAAUAUUGCACAAUGGGCGGAAGCCUGAUGCAGCAACGCCGCGUGCGGGAUGACGGCCUUCGGGUUGUAAACCGCUUUCGCCUGUGACGAAGCGUGAGUGACGGUAAUGGGUAAAGAAGCACCGGCUAACUACGUG
rnacentral:rRNA from 1 species